rnacentral:lncRNA from 1 species
GGAAUCUGGAACUUCCCCUGUACUUGGGGAGCUUGCCAAGGACUCUGAGGGCAAAGCGAUAUCCCUGCACUGCUGCCUGCUGGUGGGGGAUCCAAAGGGAGCCUAGGAACAAGGGCCACCCAAGGAACCAGCCAGAAAAUGACUGUGCCUAGGAGAGCACUUGCUGCAGACUGAGACGAUCCUUUGUGAGCUCCCCUGACGCCCCCGAGAGGAAGAGGGAGAUCUGGAAAGGGACUGGAGAGUUGUGAAAAAAGCUGGCACAUGAUGGCAAGGAAUGGACAGCGUGUGGAUUGUCCUUAAGGAAAAGGGUUCUGUCUUACCCUACAUCUCACCACACCUGACUCUGCUAAGUAAAAGGAUAAAACCAGGAGCACAGCCAUGCCAGUCUCCUGUGGCUCUGUCCCCUCCACCUUCCUCCCGUGG